UUUAAUUGAAGAGUUUGAUCAUGGCUCAGAUUGAACGCUGGCGGCAGGCCUAACACAUGCAAGUCGAGCGGUAACAGAGAGAAGCUUGCUUCUCUGCUGACGAGCGGCGGACGGGUGAGUAAUACUUGGGAAUUUGCCUUUAGGCGGGGGACAACCAC
rnacentral:rRNA from 1 species